ACUCCUACGGGAGGCAGCAGUGGGAAUAUUGCACAAUGGGCGCAAGCCUGAUGCAGCCAUGCCGCGUGUAUGAAGAAGGCCUUCGGGUUGUAAAGUACUUUCAGCAGUGGAAGGAGGUGGAUAGUCGUAAGUACGCGCAUUCAUUGACGUUAGCUGCAGAAGAAGCACCGGCUAACUCCGUGCCAGCAGCCGCGGUAAUACGGAGGGUGCGAGCGUUAAUCGGAAUUACUGGGCGUAAAGCGCAUGCAGGUGGUUUGUUAAGUCAGAUGUGAAAGCCCGGGCUCAAGCCUCGGAAUUGCAUUUGAAACUGGACAGACUAGAGUACUGUAGAGGGGGU
rnacentral:rRNA from 1 species